rnacentral:rRNA from 1 species
UACGUAGGGGCCUAGCGUUGUCCGGAUUUAUUGGGCGUAAAGAGCUCGUAGGCGGUUCGGUAAGUCAGGUGUGAAAUCUCCACGCUCAACGUGGAGGCGCCACCUGAAACUGCCGUGACCUCGAGUCCGGAGUAGGGGAGGUGUGGAAUUCCUGGUGUAGCGGUGAAAUGCCGCAGAUAUCCAGGAGGAACACCAGUGGCGAAGGCGGCACUCUGGCCGGUACUGACGCUGAGGAGCGAAGCGUGGGAGCAACAGAUAGAACC